rnacentral:rRNA from 1 species
AUUGAACGCUGGCGGCAGGCCUAACACAUGCACGUCGAACGAGUGGCGGACGGGUGAGUAAUGUCUGGGAAACUGCCCGAUGGAGGGGGAUAACUACUGGAAACGGUAGCUACUACCGCAUACCAUCGGAUGUGCCCAGAUGGGAUUAGCUAGUCGGUGGGGUAACGGGUCACCUAGGCGACGAUCCCUAGCUGGUCUGAGAGGAUAACCAGCCACACUGGAACUGUGACACGCGCCAGAGUCCUACGGGAGGCAGCAGUGGGGAAUAUUGCACAAUGGGCGCAAGCCUGAGGCAGCCAUGCCGCGUGUAUGAAGAAGGCCUUCGGGUUUUAAAGUACUUUCCGCUAGUAUGCGUUACUCGCAGAAGAAGCACCGGCUAACUCCGUGCCAGCAGCCGCGGUAAUUC